rnacentral:rRNA from 1 species
GAUGAACGCUGGCGGCGUGCCUAAUACAUGCAAGUCGAGCGAACAGACGAGGAGCUUGCUCCUCUGACGUUAGCGGCGGACGGGUGAGUAACACGUGGAUAACCUACCUAUAAGACUGGGAUAACUUCGGGAAACCGGAGCUAAUACCGGAUAAUAUCUUGAACCGCAUGGUUCAAUAGUGAAAGACGGUUUUGCUGUCACUUCUAGCUGGAUCCGCGCCGCAUUAGCUAGUUGGUAAGGUAACGGCUUACCAAGGCAACGAUGCGUAGCCGACCUGAGAGGGGGGUCGGCCACACUGGAACGGGGACACGGUCCAGAGUCCUACGGGAGGGAGCAGUAGGGAAUCUUCCGCAAAGGGCGAAAGCCUGACGGAGCAACGCCGCGUGAGUGAUGGAGGUCUUCGGAUCGUAAAACUCUGUUAUGAGGGAAGAACAAAUGUGUAAGUAACUAUGCACGGCUUGACGGUACCGAAUCAGAAAGCCACGGCUAACUACGUG